rnacentral:rRNA from 1 species
AGAGUUUGAUCCUGGCUCAGGAGGAACGCUGGCGGCGUGCCUAAUACAUGCAAGUAGAACGCUGAAGGAGGAGCUUGCUCUUCUGGAUGAGUUGCGAACGGGUGAGUAACGCGUAUGUAACCUGCCUGGUAGCGGGGGAUAACUAUUGGAAACGACAGCUAAUACCGCAUAAGAGUAGAUAUCGCAUGAUAUUUGUUUGAAAGGUGCAAUUGCACCACUACCAGAUGGACCUGCGUUGUAUUAGCUAGUUGGUGAGGUAACGGCUCACCAAGGCAACGAUACAUAGCCGACCUGAGAGGGUGAUCGGCCACACUGGGACUGAGACACGGCCCAGACUCCUACGGGAGGCAGCAGUAGGGAAUCUUCGGCAAUGGACGAAAGUCUGACCGAGCAACGCCGCGUGAGUGAAGAAGGUUUUCGGAUCGUAAAGCUCUGUUGUAAGAGAAGAACGAGUGUGAGAGUGGAAAGUUCACACUGUGACGGUAUCUUACCAGAAAGGGACGGCUAACUACGUGCCAGCAGCCGCGGUAAUACGUAGGUCCCGAGCGUUGUCCGGAUUUAUUGGGCGUAAAGCGAGCGCAGGCGGUUAGAUAAGUCUGAAGUUAAAGGCUGUGGCUUAACCAUAGUACGCUUUGGAAACUGUUUAACUUGAGUGCAAGAGGGGAGAGUGGAAUUCCAUGUGUAGCGGUGAAAUGCGUAGAUAUAUGGAGGAACACCGGUGGCGAAAGCGGCUCUCUGGCUUGUAACUGACGCUGAGGCUCGAAAGCGUGGGGAGCAAACCAGGAUUAGAUACCCUGGUAGUCCACGCCGUAAACGAUGA